CGCGCUUUCGAGUCAUUGGACUUAGAAGUGUAUCAAAUACGUCCGAAACAUUCAAUUAUAAACAAUAUAAUUAAAACGAAAUUCAUAAAAACGUUUUUUUACUAAUACACUAUAAAUGAAGUUAGCAUAAAAUGAUAUGAUUGAGCUAACAAUUCAAACAUGCGACAUUGUUCAACGAAGUCAUAUAUAAAACUUUGGUGGAAUUAAAGUUUUCCUAAGAUUUAAAAUGAACGAAAUUAAUUA